GCGUCCCCCACCGACCGCCGCACAGCAGCCCGGCCAGGCCGCCGCGGCGCCGCCCUCCCCCUCCCCCGCACUCCUUGCCCGCCGCGUCUGCUGCUGGCCAGCUCGGCCUCCGCGCGACCGCGCCGUCCAGGGUACCUCUCCCCUCUAGGCGGUGCGAGCAGGCGUGAGUGCCCUCCUCCUCCGACCUGCGGCCCCUGCCUCGCCGUUCCGCGGAGGGACGCCGGGUCAAGCUCCCUGCUCGCACUGUUCAGUUGCUCCGGUGCUCCUGUUCUUCUCCGAAUGGAUCGGAUUUUAAGGCGUAGCUAUGGCACACUGGCAUCGCCAAACACCCCUUUAAGCCGCCGCAAGCAACAUCAAGAUGUGCUACUCGAACAGGGUCUCAGUACACGGAGCACCAUCAGGUAGCCGCCGCCCACAGCAGAGGUGUGGGCCCGCACACAAAAAUGACUUGAUGUUCCACCAUAGAGGGCACUUUGCAAUCAAAGAAUUCGAAAAAGACUCCAGCAAGGGGUCAUCAGUCAAUGUAUAGCAACGUGCGUUCUUACUCGCAUAGGAUAGGAGUAUCAUAUCCUUUAAUUUGAUCAACUUGCACCACACCAUUUUUCUUCAUCUUCCGCAUCUGGACCUAACCUACUUUCACACAUGGAAACUAUAUGUACGUGCGCUCUAUAUAUAAGUGCUCGAGUCGAGCACCCAUUUUGCACAAACUGUGAGCCAGGUCGCCAAUCCAAGUAGAAUAGAAACACAGGAAGGAGCAAGGAGACGAACAAUCGAGGAUGGUGAAGAACAACUCCUCUGCGACCUCGGUUCGGCUGAUGCUGAUCCUCCUCGUUCUGCUGGUUUUCGUUGGUGGCAUCCUUGCAAACGAUGGGCCGUCCAAAUGCAGCAACCCUGCGGCUCAGCAAAACUGCCCGUCGAUCCCUAAUGGCGGCUCAUAAGCAUGAGAUGGAUCAUUUCUGCGCAGCAGGAUUCGGUAGGAUCUUGUGUUGGCAGGCGUUGGAAGCUUCCUAGCUAUUACUAGCGGGUAGUGCGCGGCGGCACGCCGCGCCACGUGGAUCGAUAAGCAAUUUAGUUUAUUUGUAAUAUUUGGUAAGUCAUUUGAAGACUUGAUUCGUGACAAAGUAGAUUAUACAAGGAAUGGUUACAUUUAGUUGGUACCUACAUGCAUAAGUUAUCUACAACACAUAGUGAUAGUGAGUAAUGGACGCAGAGUUGUGAAGCUCUUGUUCUUUUCUUAGACUUGAGAUGUUGAUCCUCCGGUUGAGUCUGUCUCUUUGAUGUAGUGCUAGAGAAAUGAGCCUAGUUCUUCUUCUCUCA